AUCUUCACCCCGUCUAAUGUCUAAAUGUUUUUUUCCUUUUCACUCCAUUUUAUUACAUUUUACUAUUGGUCUCUUUCAUGGCGUCCGGUUACUAUUAAAGAUUCUUACGUCUGAUUGAGCCCCAGAACCACCGACACGUCCGCCUACAUUUAUCGUUAACGAUAUAAUUCCAUAGCCGGGCGGUGAAUUUCCACAGAUAAUCGGCAUUGAUGGUAAUGCAUGCGAGGAAACUUCAAAGGAUUAGUGAUGGGUAUUAUGACAAGAACCCGUCCCAUCAGUAUCAGAAUUCCAAAUAUUUAGUUUCAAAAAAUUCUAGCAGUGAUCAAAAGUAUGGCAGUGUUAGGGGAAAUGGUACCUCGUACCCAAGUCCUAGCCGAGGAAGUCCAUCGCGAGAUCGAUCAUACUCUAGCAAAAGUUCAUAUCAUUCUCAAAAAAGUCACAGAGAUAAGGAGAGAGAUUCUCGAGACUAUAAAUCUAGGAAUAGUGAUAAAUAUUCUGAUUAUAGUAGGUCACCAAAAGAUAGACGAAGUAGAGAUGAAUAUAGAACAAACCACGAUCGGAUUAGUCCGGAAAAAAUGGUUGUUCAUUCUGUGAAGUGGUCAAAUUCUAGGGAUUCUAGAGAUUCUAGAGAAUCUGGUCAACGGAAAGUUGUUCAUAGCUCUUGUCAGAGUAGCAGCAGUAGUAGUAAUAACCGUGAAUCCAGGUCUGGCGGAAGCUCGACUGUCACUAAAGUUGGUGAUUGGUCUGAACACACAAGUUCUUCAGGCAAAAAAUACUAUUAUAAUUGUAAAACCGAAGUAUCCCAAUGGGAUCAGCCAAGAGAAUGGUUAGAAGCUUAUCCAGCAUCUCAACCUUCUCGAACACAAUACCACCAUGACAAACAUUCCAAUAACUCUAUGAUGAGAUCAUCAUCAAUGAGCAAUCAUGUGAACAAAGUUUCACAACAGUCCUCUCAGCAACAAGUUAAUUCUACAAGUAGACCAACUCACCAUCAAAAAGAUGCUUAUUGGAACCAAAUGCGAAGUAAUAAUCUUCCAAUAAAUGUCUCGCAAUCUCAUCAUGUGUCUGAGUGUAAUGUAGAUAGACUUGAACAAGAUGGACCAACAAUAAUCAAUUCCUGCGAUUCUUCGCAAACCCAAGAUAUGGAAUUGUGUAGUGGUGACAGCACUCCAACUUCGGAAAAGUCCUUUCAACUAUCAAAUGUACCUGCACAAAGGCACAGUUCUUCUACUCCUCAAUCACAAGUAAAGGGAGCUGAAGUUAACAGUGAACCAUGUGAAAGAACAAAUGUUGAUGUUGGAUCAACUACACCACCAUUAUCAAAUAUAACUCAGAAUUUAGUUGAUUCAUCAACAACCAAUAAUGUUACUGAACGAAGUCCACCCACUCCUGCAAGCACAGAGACUAAUAAUAUCCAAGAAGUUAAAGGAAGUCCUGUAACAAGCCAUGCUGAACAAGUUGUCCAAGUCAACAAUGUAAUAAGUUACAGGCAGCUUGGAACAACAACGUCUCCCAUCAUGUCAAACUUUGUACGUGAUGAUUUAACAUCACAUGUUAAAUCAUGGCCAGCUGAUAUUUUAGCAAAACAGGCACAAAAAUUAAAUGAAGAAGCCCAUAUAUUAGGAAGUGUACACUGUUCACGAGUAUCUGCAGAACUCAAAUAUGCAAGAUCUAUUGUUCGUCUGACUGAAGUGCAAGCAUCCUUACUAGAACACAAGGUGUUAUUUUUACAGCAACAAAUUAAAACUUUAGAAAAAUUAAAAUCUGAAAAUUCAUUUAUGGGUGAAGAAGAUGAAGGAAGGACGACUUAAAUAUACUAUGUUAAGAAUUAAAGUGGGUUCUCGAGGAACUAUAAAAAGAAUCGCCAACAGUAUUUGUUGUCUAAAAUAUUAGCGGCUAAAAUAUGGUUCUUCAAAAAUACACGUACAAUAAAAAAAUGUUGGUUCGGACACAAUAUUUUUGGAUUUUUUAUGCGCUCCCAGGUUCUCAUUUGAAAAUAGAAAUUUGUAUCGCCACUGGACAAAAUUGUAGUACAAAAUUAUAUAGUUAAAAGAAUAAUGGAAUUUAUACUUAACUUGGCAAUAAAAUGGACUGACAGAAAAAAAUAUGGAACUGCAAUCAUUUCAAAACCCAAAUAAGAAUCACGGAAAAAAACCCACAAACUAAACAAAAACUUCUACUAGGAUAAAAAUAAUAAGUAAAAAUGUCUAUAUAUUAAUACAGAAAUACUUUUUUCGUUCA
rnacentral:misc_RNA from 1 species